rnacentral:rRNA from 1 species
AGAUUAUAUAAAUUAUUUUUUUUUAUUUAUUUUAUUAUUUUUAUUAAAAUUAAUUUUUUGUUUUUGUAUUUUUUAUGGAUUUAAUUAUUUUUAUUAUAGUUAAUUUUUACUGUAUUGGGUAUAUUUAUUAAUUUUUAAAAGUGGAUUAUUUAUUGUACCUUGUGUAUCAGGGUUUAUUAAAUUAUGUAAUUUAUAUUUUUCCUCCCGAUUUUAAAGGAGUUAAUUAAUUAUUUUAGUUAUUGUUUUAUAAUUAUUAAUAAUAGUUGAUUUGGUGGUGAAAUGUUAUUCGACUUUAAUGGUAUCUGGUUUUUCAAGAAAUAAAUUUAAUUUAGAUAUCAAUAUUUAUAUUUCUAUCUUUUUAGUUUUAUAUUUUAUUGAUAUUAAUGUUAUGGGGGAUAAGCUUUUUAACAUAUUUUUAUAAUAUUAUUAAUAUUUUUAAUUCUUGUUGGUUUUAUAAUAACUAUCAAUUUGAGUUUGUUAAAAUUUUAUUUUGUUAUAUUUUGAUUUUUUAUUAUUUAAGUAUUUUAUUGAAAUUAUUUAUUAAUUUUUUAUUUAUUUGUAAUUAUGAUGAAAUUAGUAAUUAUUAAAUUUUAUUUUUAAGUAUAUUUUUGUUUCUAUUUUAAAAGGAACUAGGCAAAAUUUUAAUAUUCUCGCAUGUUUAUCAAAAACAUCUCCUCUUGUAUAAAUAUGAGGUAUGACCUGCCCACUGAUUAACUUUGAAGGGCCGCGGUAUCUUGACCGUGCAAAGGUAGCAUAAUCAUUAGUCCUUUAAUUGUGGACUGGAAUGAAUGGUUGGACGAGGAAUAGACUGUUUCUUAUUAUUUUUUUUGAAUUUAAUUUUUAAGUUAAAAAGCUUAAAUAUAUUUAUGGGACGAGAAGACCCUAUAGAGUUUAUACAUAUUUUAUAUUAAUUUUGUUUGAUUAUAUUAUUUAUUGUUUAAUAUGUUUUAUUGGGGUGAUAGGAAGAAUUAAAUAACUCUUUUUUAUUAUACACAUUUAUUUAUGAAAUAUUGAUCCAUUUUUGUUGAUUAUAAGAUUAAAUUACCUUAGGGAUAACAGCGUAAUCUUUUUUGAGAGUUCUUAUUGAUGAAUAGGUUUGCGACCUCGAUGUUGGAUUAAGAUUUAAUUUGGGCGUAGAAUUUCAAGUUGUUUAGGUCUGUUCGACCUUUAAAAUCUUACAUGAUCUGAGUUCAGACCGGCGUGAGCCAGGUCGGUUUCUAUCUAUAAUAAAUUUUAUAUCUUAGUACGAGAGGACCAGAUAUUUGAAAUAAUUUUUAGAUUUCUUGAAUAUUAUUAAUUAUUUGUUU